GUGGGGAAUAUUGGACAAUGGGCGAAAGCCUGAUCCAGCCAUGCCGCGUGUGUGAAGAAGGUCUUCGGAUUGUAAAGCACUUUAAGUUGGGAGGAAGGGCAGUAAGUUAAUACCUUGCUGUUUUGACGUUACCAACAGAAUAAGCACCGGCUAACUUCGUGCCAGCAGCCGCGGUAAUACGAAGGGUGCAAGCGUUAAUCGGAAUUACUGGGCGUAAAGCGCGCGUAGGUGGUUUUGUAAGUUGGAGGUGAAAUCCCCGGGCUCAACCUGGGAACUGCCUCCAAAACUGCAUGACUAGAGUACGGUAGAGGGUAGUGGAAUUUCCUGUGUAGCGGUGAAAUGCGUAGAUAUAGGAAGGAACACCAGUGGCGAAGGCGACUACCUGGACUGAUACUGACACUGAGGUGUGAAAGCGUGGGGAGCAAACAGGAUUAGAUACCCGAGUAGUCC
rnacentral:rRNA from 1 species